CUAACCAGCCAUCUUCCAGGCCAAGGAGGGUGAUGUGAGGUUCAGUUCUGUCUCCUUGGUAGCCUAUGCCCCCGUGGCCUCCACGCCCAGCAGCUGCCUUGGGCUCCCCUCGCCUGCAAAUGGACUGUAAGAAGAGGGUCCCUCUUGACACAAGGGCAAGAGGGGCCAGUACAGGACAAGGGAGGACAGUAGGGUAGGGAGAUUCUAGAAAAGGCUGUGUUCAGGAGAGAAGGAGAAAGGCCAAAGAACCAGCAAACAAGUAGUCAGAUUU